rnacentral:lncRNA from 10 species
CUAGAAACUGAUUGCAUAAAGGUAAGAGGAAAUGAGAAAACAAAAAUGAGACAUCACAGGCAGUGGGGAUGUAUGACCUUCUUAUGGCAGAGUUUAGCAAAGGAUGGGUCCCCAAGACUGAAAGAUGCCAGUAAGCAUUUAGCAAUGGUGACAGUGAGAGUCACACCCACUACACACCCUACUCUCUAAGGCCAAUUCAGCAGGCUGGCAGGGAUAUUUACUAUUUUAUUUUAUUUUAUUUUAUUUUAUUUUAAAUCUUAAGCCUAUAUUUUUAGUAGAGAUGGGGUUUCACCAUGUUGGCCAGGCUGGUUUUGAACUCCUGAUCUCAGGUGAUCCAUCCGCCUCGGCCUCCCAAAAUGCCUGUAAUCCCAGCUACUUGGGAGGCUGAAGCAGGAGAAUUGCUUGGACCUGGGAAGUGGAGAUACAUCUUUCCUGCUGUCCACUGCUCUCCCCGCUGCAGUCCCCUUUCUCCUGAGCACAUGUCUGGUUAUAGCUCUGGCCUUCCAAGACUAUAGCUCCUGCUGACUGGUCCCGCCUCUAAGUCUUCAGCUCUCACUGGGCUCUGCACUGUUUCCUCUUUUUCCUAGGGGGUGAUAAUGGCUUCUAAAUGUUGCUGGUCUCUGAGUGCCUCAUCACCCCUGGUUUAUUUGUUUGUUUGUUAACCCUGUCUUUACCUCUGUAGGUAUCCCUUCAUUAAAGUCUCUUCAUUUGAACUCUUGUAGGUGAAUUCUUUAUCCUCCCAGAACCUCUAUGCUUCCAGAACCUAUCCUCCCACGAUUCCUUUAAAGUUCACAUUUAGUGCUAGACCUUUGAGAAUAUCAUCUUGUAUAUUCUGAAAACCUUUAAUUCCUAGUUUUUCUGGAAAGCAAGUAUGAAUUUAUUCCAUUUUAAUGAAGAAAAUAAAGCAGAGAUUCACUAAUAAAUAUUCUUAAGGUCUCAAAAUGAAUACUGGAAACAUUUCCUAAUAUCCUAAAAGCCAUAGCUGGC